rnacentral:rRNA from 1 species
GACGAACGCUGGCGGCGUGCUUAACACAUGCAAGUCGAACGGAAAGGCGCUGCGUUUGUGGGGUGCUCGAGUGGCGAACGGGGGAGUAACACGUGAGUAACCUGCCCUUGACUUUGGGAUAACUUCAGGAAACUGGGGCUAAUACCGGAUAGGAGCUCCUGCUGCAUGGUGGGGGUUGGAAAGUGUCGGCGGUUGGGGAUGGACUGGCGGGUUAUCAGCUUGUUGGGGGGGUAGUGACUGACCAAGGCUUUGACGGGUAGCCUGCCUGAGAGGGUGACCGGCGACAUUGGGACUGAGAUACGGCGCAGAAUCGUAUGGGCCGCAGCAGUGGGGAACAUUACACAACAGGGGGACGCCUGAUGCAGAAACGUCGCGUGCGGGAUACCCGCCUUUGAGUUGUAAACAGCUUUGGACUGUAAUGAAGCGUGCGUGACGGUAAUUAGUAAAGAAGCCCCGGCUAACUACGUG